rnacentral:rRNA from 1 species
UACGUAGGGCGCAAGCGUUGUCCGGAAUUAUUGGGCGUAAAGAGCUCGUAGGCGGUUUGUCGCGUCUGCUGUGAAAACUCGAGGCUCAACCUCGGGCUUGCAGUGGGUACGGGCAGACUAGAGUGCGGUAGGGGUGACUGGAAUUCCUGGUGUAGCGGUGGAAUGCGCAGAUAUCAGGAGGAACACCGAUGGCGAAGGCAGGUCACUGGGCCGCAACUGACGCUGGAGGAGCG